GAAUCAAUAAAUUAUGGGUUGCUACUUGCUGGAUACAUAAUAGUGUUUUUGCUUCCUCCGUUCCCAAUCUCAAAAUCCAUUUUCGAACUUCAAAGUAGCCUCUUACUGUCUCUGCGAUCAUUUCAGGGAUGGCUGAACAAAUUCCAUUUGCUGUUACUUCAAAUCUCAUUCGCAGGUUGGCCUCCGUAGAUUUUAUUGAAUUUGGAGAAGAGUAUGGGGUGAAGGAAGAGUUGGAAGAGCUUAAGAAGACAAUUGAAUCUAUCAAUGAUGUGCUCCUUGAUGCUGACCACAAACAAGAUCAAGUUCGCGUACGUAAUUGGAUAUCUGACUUCAAAGAAGUACUCCAUGAUGCAGAUGAUUUCUUAGAUCACCUUGCUAUUGAAUUUAGGAAAGACAAAUUGGGUGCAGCCGAAGGAAAAGAAGUAAACAGGGUACUUCUUUCCAUUUCAUCUUCAAAUCAAUUUCCUUUAUACACUGAAAUGCCUGACAAAAUUAAAGAAAUACGAGAAAGUUUUAACGGUGUAGUAAAAGAAAUGAAGGAUUUGAAUUUGUGCCCAAGAUCUAUUGUGGUCAAGCAAACUGAUAGUGGAUGGAGGGAAACAUGUUCUUUUGUGUUAGAGACAGAUAUCAUUGGAAGAGAUGAUAGUAAAAAGGAGAUUAUCAGUAUGUUGAGACAACCUCAUGAAAACCAAAAAGUUUCUGUGAUUGCCAUUGUUGGCCUUGGUGGUUUGGGGAAGACAGCUCUUGCUCAAUUGGUGUAUAAUCACGUAGAAGUGCAGGAAUUUUUUGAAAAGCAAAUGUGGGUGUGUGUAUCUGAUAACUUUGAUGUGAAAACUAUUCUGGAGAAAAUAUUAGUAUCAAUUACUCGUUGGUUACCGUUAGAUUACUUGCAAGAAGAGCUUCGUCAAAAUUUAAGUUGUAAAAAAUAUUUGUUGGUGCUGGAUGACAUUUGGAAUGAUAGUUAUAAAAAAUGGGCUGAAUUGAGAAAGUACUUGAUGUGUGGCGCUCAAGAUAGCAAGAUUUUAGUGACAACUCGAAGUGAAAAUGUAGCAAAGGCAAUCACUGCUAGCACUUCCUAUCAUUUGCAAGGUUUAACUGAUGAAGAAUCUUGGAGUUUGUUGAAGAACAUUGCAUUUGAUGAUGAUUUCAACGGAGUGAAUCAAAAUCUAGAAUCAAUGGGGAAAGAAAUAGCCAAAAAAUGUAAAGGGGUUCCACUGACAGUUAAAACCUUGGGAGGCCUGUUACGAGGACAAGACGAAGAAAGUGAUUGGGAGAAUGUUUUACGUGGUGACUUCUGGAAAUUAUGUGAAGAGCAAGAUAGUAUCAUGCCAAUUCUAAAACUCAGUUACCACAACUUGUCGCCAGAAAUGAGACAAUGUUUUGCUUACUGCUCUUUAUACCCAAGGAUUCAGAAAUUGAAAAGGAUGAGCUGAUUCAGUUAUGGAUGGCACAGGGUUACCUUAAAUGUUCAACCGCAAAGCAACAGAUGGAGGAAGUCGGUAAUCAAUUUGUAAAGAUGUUUUUUAUGAACUCAUUCUUUCAAGAUGCGUUUAGUGAAUACGAUGAGAUCAUUAGCUUCAAAAUGCACGAUUUAAUGCAUGAUCUGGCAAUGCUAGUAGCCGGCGGUGAUUAUUGUUGCUUGGAUAGUGAGGCAGAAAAAGUUGAAGGUAGACCCAUGCACGUGUCAUUGGAAUCUUGUGAGGCCAUUCAUUUGUUGAAAUCAUUAGAUCCGAGCAGACUGCGAACUUUGAUUUUGCCGGAUGACUUGGAAGAGGAGGAAGAUUUGUCGGUUAUUACAGAGUUCAAAUACUUACGUGUCUUGAGAAUGCAUCAUCUCUCUGAUUCCACUGAACAUUUGAAGCAUUUAAGAUACCUUGUUUUAACACAACAAAAAAGUCUUCCCAAAUCUAUAAGCAAUCUUGUUUGCUUACAAACAUUAAAACUCAAAGGUUGCGAUAAAGAAUCAUUUUCAGAAGUAGUCACAAAGUUAGUCAAUUUGAGGUGCCUUGAUGUUGCUGAUUAUGACUCCGUGAGUGGGAUGGCAGGGUUGGGAAAAUUAUGCUCUCUGCAAUUAUUAUCGACCUUUGUUGUGAGGGACAGCCAAGAAAUAAAAUAUGGCACCCUAAAUGAACUGAAGGACUUAAACCUCAGAGGCGAAUUAAGAAUUGAGCAUCUGAAUCGUGUGAGAGACGUGGCUCUGGAAUCACAGUAUGUAAAUUUAAGAGAAAAAAAAUUCCUUCGUUCCUUGACUCUAGAUUGGUCGUAUGGAGACAUCAUCCGUAACAGUGACAGUCUACAAUUGUUAGAAAACCUUCAGCCCCACCGCAAUCUCAAGCAUUUGGAGGUGAAUCAUUAUCCAGGCGUGCUUUUCCCAAAUUGGCUUUCUCUCCUCACAAAUGUUGUUUACAUCUCUCUCUCUGCUUGUUAUAAUUGUCGCUGUCUCCCUCCGUUGGAACGUCUCCCUUACCUCGAGUCACUUAACAUACAGUUUCUUUAUGAAUUGGAAUCCAUAUAUCUCUGCGAAGAUGGUUUUGCAGUAAACUUCUUCCCCUCUUUGAAGAGCCUCAAAUUAGGUCAUUGUCCCAGGCUCAGGGGAUGGCGGAGGCGGGGAGAUGACAUCAAAGAUUCACAUAAUCUCUCCUUACCACUUUCAUUUCCUCAUCUUUCUCAUCUAGAUGUCUUUCGGUGUCCAAAGUUGACUUUUCCAAACGUUGAGAAUUUAAAAAAAUUGAAGAUUUCUGAUCCUAUGAAUUUACCAAAGGGUUGGAUGCAAAAUCUGACUUCUCUCGAGUCUCUUCAUAUUGGAUGGUGUAAAAGUGAAACACUGGAGGAAUUUGAAACUUGGUUUAAGGACGACACCGACUGCCUUCCUUCUCUGGGAAAAAUCGUCUUAUAUAUGUGUGAAAGGCUAAAGGCUUUGCCAGAUUGGAUUUGCAACCUCUCAGCGAUUCAGCACGUCAUGAUCUCCGGUUGCCGAAAAUUGGCAUUGCUGCCCGAAGGAAUGAGUGGUCUUAUCAACUUAAAGAUCUUUGAGGUCAGCAGAUGUUCCCUCUUACUUAAAGAAUGCCGAACAGAGACAAGUGUUGUUAGUCGCCAAAUCGCACACAUCCCACAAAUAAUCCUUCAUGAUUACUGAUGAUCAGUUAUGAUAAAGUUAGUGCAAGAGGGAGGGGAUGGGAGCUUUGCAGGGUGUAGGAAAGAAGGUAGAAUAAGCUAGCUGGGGCUUGGAGCGUGGUCUGAUAGGUAUAAAAGACUGCAACAUUUCAUCAACAAUUUCCACUUGGUAAGUUCUGAGGAAAUGAAGAAAAGAAAGAAAGGAUUUGAAUUUUGGCAGCAAUCCAAGGAAAUGCUUAGGUCGGGAAUUUUAAUGUUGUUUUAGGCUUCUACUUCAGCUCUAACAGCCUGCUCAAGCUUUUACAAUGAAGACACUGGACGAACUGAAGAACAUUGGUUCAGAAUAGGGCAAAAACAACGAAGAAAUCUGCAGUGCAUUGUUCCCACCACCAUUCUUGAUCAGCUAAUAUAGUCCUCGAGCAACUUGGAGCGUAAGAAAAAUGAAACCUGUUCAAAUUUGUCAGGAAAAAAGUAAAUCAACAGGGGCAAAAGUAAAUGAGGAUAUAUGUCGCAAACAGAAAGAAACAAAAAAAUGCAUGUGGCUGAUCAUUGAUAAAAUAUCAAUCCUUUUCAUAUAUUAAACAACUAGACAACGAGGCACCUUUACAUGGGAGAAUAUGCAACUAUUACUUGAAAUCAUGCUAGUUAAAUCGAUAUUCGUGAAUCGUAAGAUUCAACUUCAUUGUAUAAAUAAUAAAAUGAAACAUAGUAAAAGAUUCAAG